rnacentral:rRNA from 1 species
GACGAACGCUGGCGGCGUGCUUAACACAUGCAAGUCGAACGGAAAGGCCCUGCUUUUGUGGGGUGCUCGAGUGGCGAACGGGUGAGUAACACGUGAGUAACCUGCCCUUGACUUUGGGAUAACUUCAGGAAACUGGGGCUAAUACCGGAUAGGAGCUCCUGCUGCAUGGUGGGGGUUGGAAAGUUUCGGCGGGUGGUGAUGGACUCGCGGCUUAUCAGCUUGUUGGUGGGGUAGUGGCUUACCAAGGCUUUGACGGGUAGCCGGCCUGAGAGGGUGACCGGCCACAGUGGGACUGAGAUACGGCCCAGACUCCUACGGGAGGCAGCAGUGGGGAAUAUUGCACAAUGGGCGGAAGCCUGAUGCAGCAACGCCGCGUGAGGGAUGACGGCCUUCGGGUUGUAACCCGCUUUCGCCUGUGACGAAGCGUGAGUGACGGUAAUGGGUAAAGAAGCACCGGCUAACUACGUG